rnacentral:lncRNA from 1 species
AUCAGAUAAGAAUUUGGAUUGUCUGGUAAAAUAUAUUAAGAAAAAGAAACUGUUAGUUUUCAGCACGUGACCGUGACAACGGAAGAAGACAUUGAGAGUACACUCUUCUCAUUAUACAAGGUGUGGAACGCCAUUCUUUGCCUCUUCACUCUGUCUAUUUCAUUGCCAAAAACUCUGUAUUGAGGAACAAAGGAAAAAAGGAGUUUUUUUUCAAGAAGAAGAAGAGAAUGAGAGAGUAUGGCAGUAAGUAUUCUCUCACCAGUGCUUUUAUAAUGCUGAUUCUUUUACACAAUGUAAAUGGCGAAGACCCUUAUCGAUUUUACACUUGGAAAAUCACUUAUGGUGACAUUUAUCCUCUGGGUGUCAAACAAAAGGUACUAAUGCCCUUCACAAUGUACUGUGUGUUGUUUCUUGGAUUUUCUUGAAUAUACUGUUGUUCCUGAAGAUAAAAAAUGGUGGUGCAGGGAAUUUUGAUAAAUGGGCAGUUUCCAGGGCCACAGAUUGACUGUGUCACCAAUGAUAACUUGAUUAUCAGUGUUUACAACUACUUGAAUGAGCCCUUUCUCCUUUCUUGGUAAAGCAUUGCUCUCCCCACCCCCACCCUCCGGCUGCGUUCUAUCUAGUUAAAGAACAUUUUGUAUUAACUGUAAAAUGUGGCAGAUCUAUUCAAUUCCCAUUAUGUUUUUGU